AAGUCGUAACAAGGUUUCCGUAGGUGAACCUGCGGAAGGAUCAUUACCGAUCGCGUUCUACACGUAGGACACCGAGAACCGUAUGGAGAGUUGGGGGUCGCUCCGUCGAGAGCGUCAAACGUCGGGAGCGCCCCGUCCGCGGGGUUGAUUCUCGCGGCCCCCACGUUUAUUUUUUCCAACUUUUAAACACCUUCACUGCAGAAAACGCGUCCGCUCGAACCGGACGAAAUCUUAAAAGUUCAUAACUUUUAACGGUGGAUCUCUUGGCUCGU
rnacentral:misc_RNA from 1 species